rnacentral:rRNA from 8 species
AGGGAAACGCCCGGUUACAUUCCGAACCCGGAAGCUAAGCCUUACAGCGCCGAUGGUACUGCAGGGGGGACCCUGUGGGAGAGUAGGACGCCGCCGAAC